rnacentral:rRNA from 1 species
GAUGAACGCUGGCGGCGUGCCUAAUACAUGCCAGUCGAGCGAACAGACGAGGAGCUUGCUCCUCUGACGUUAGCGGCGGACGGGUGAGUAACACGUGGAUAACCUACCUAUAAGACUGGGAUAACUUCGGGAAACCGGAGCUAAUACCGGAUAAUAUAUUGAACCGCAUGGUUCAAUAGUGAAAGACGGUUUUGCUGUCACUUAUAGAUGGAUCCGCGCCGCAUUAGCUAGUUGGUAAGGUAACGGCUUACCAGGGCGACGAUGCGUAGCCGACCUGAGAGGGUGAUCGGCCACACUGGAACUGAGACACGGUCCAGACUCCUACGGGAGGCAGCAGUAGGGAAUCUUCCGCAAUGGGCGAAAGCCUGACGGAGCAACGCCGCGUGAGUGAUGAAGGUCUUCGGAUCGUAAAACUCUGUUAUUAGGGAAGAACAAAUGUGUAAGUAACUAUGCACGUCUUGACGGUACCUAAUCAGAAAGCCACGGCUAACUACGUG